UUCCUACGGGGGGCAGCAGUGGGGAAUAUUGCACAAUGGGGGAAACCCUGAUGCAGCGACGCCGCGUGAGUGAAGAAGUAUUUCGGUAUGUAAAGCUCUGUCAGCAGGGAAGAAAAUGACGGUACCUGACCAAGAAGCCCCGGCUAACUACGUGCCAGCAGCCGCGGUAAUACGUAGGGGGCAAGCGUCAUCCGGAUUUACUGGGUGUAAAGGGAGCGUAGACGGCAGGGCAAGUCAGAUGUGAAAACUCAGGGCUCAACCCUGAGCCUGCAUUUGAAACUGCGUUUCUUGAGUGCUGGAGAGGC
rnacentral:rRNA from 1 species